CAAGCCCUUUCAUUUCUGAUCACCCUAGGAGAGAAACUGCUUGAUCCCACCUUGCCUCGGGCUGUCCAGAAUCCUUCGCCUGGAAGAUGUUUGUGGGCCUUCACUCUUUCUCUAGGAGCCUCCCUCCCUGUAAGUAUGUAUGAUAUAUGUGCAUGUAUAUAUGUUGUAUGUGUAUGUUUAUGCACACACACGUGUGUAUAUAAUUACUAUUUUAGCAAGAAAUAAGCCCAUUCUCUGUGUAUUGCCAUAAAUUUAGGUUAAUGUUGUUUUAAA
rnacentral:lncRNA from 12 species